GUGGGGAAUAUUGCACAAUGGGCGAAAGCCUGAUGCAGCAACGCCGCGUGAGUGAUGAAGGCCUUCGGGUUGUAAAGCUCUGUCUUCUGGGACGAUAAUGACGGUACCAGAGGAGGAAGCCACGGCUAACUACGUGCCAGCAGCCGCGGUAAUACGUAGGUGGCAAGCGUUGUCCGGAUUUACUGGGCGUAAAGGAUGCGUAGGCGGAUACUUAAGUCAGAUGUGAAAAUCCCGGGCUUAACUUGGGAACUGCAUUUGAAACUGGGUAGCUAGAGUGCGGGAGGGGAAAGUGGAAUUCCUAGUGUAGCGGUGAAAUGCGUAGAGAUUAGGAAGAACACCAGUGGCGAAGGCGACUUUCUGGACCGUAACUGACGCUGAGGCAUGAAAGCGUGGGGAGCAAACA
rnacentral:rRNA from 1 species